rnacentral:rRNA from 1 species
CGGAGUGGCAGACGGGUGAGUAACGCGUGGGAACAUACCCUUCGGUUCGGAAUAACUCAGGGAAACUUGGGCUAAUACCGGAUACGUCCGCRAGGAGAAAGAUUUAUCGCCGAAGGAUUGGCCCGCGUCUGAUUAGCUUGUUGGUGAGGUAAUGGCUCACCAAGGCGACGAUCAGUAGCUGGUCUGAGAGGAUGAUCAGCCACAUUGGGACUGAGACACGGCCCAAACUCCUACGGGAGGCAGCAGUGGGGAAUAUUGGACAAUGGGCGCAAGCCUGAUCCAGCCAUGCCGCGUGAGUGAUGAAGGCCCUAGGGUUGUAAAGCUCUUUUACCCGGGAAGAUAAUGACGGUACCGGGAGAAUAAGCCCCGGCUAACUUCGUGCCAGCAGCCGCGGUAAUACGAAGGGGGCUAGCGUUGUUCGGAAUCACUGGGCGUAAAGCGCACGUAGGCGGAUCUUUAAGUCAGGGGUGAAAUCCCGGGGCUCAACCUCGGAACUGCCUUUGAUACUGGRGAUCUCGAGUCCGGGAGAGGUGAGUGGAACUGCGAGUGUAGAGGUGAAAUUCGUAGAUAUUCGCAAGAACACCAGUGGCGAAGGCGGCUCACUGGCCCGGUACUGACGCUGAGGUGCGAAAGCGU